CGAAGGGAUGCGGAGGUCUUGGAGACGUCGCCUUACCUUCCCCAGUGGCUUGGACGUCCUGUACCACAGCGCAGACACACUGUUGGAUGCAUCCAUGGAUACAAAGCCUUAUUUUCAGUGACGACAGAGCAGAGCGUGCUUUGCAGUUUCCUUCCCAGGGCCUGUGACAGAGUGAUGCAGAGCAGGUGAGCACAGAUAAAGCAUGGGUGGAGAGAUAGAAAGCAGUGAGUGACAGGAAUGGAGAUCGCUGCCAGUUCAGCUCAUGUCAAAUAACACCUGGAUGCUCUCAGACCAAAAGCGAUGACAGUUAAUGACACACCCAGACAGUGAGAAGAAGAGGCCCACAGGUCAGUGUUUUCGCACUUCUGCUCUAGUAGAGUCUAAUCUCUAACUCUAAUCAAAUCAUAAAUCCUCUCAUCUAAAUUAUAACCCAACCUAGAUGCAUUCUGAAUACAGGAAAGUGUGACUGCAGAUAUAUAAAUGACAGUUUUUGUUUGUUUUUUAAAAAUACAUCACUCUGAUAAAGAAAGUCACAAUGACACAAAGAUCAAUCCGGAUUUUUAAAUGUUUUUAUGCAAACAGGUUUUAAAUAAAACAAAUACAAAAUACAUUAAAGUAAAAAAACACUCAUGUAAGAACUGCACAUCUACAUGACAGCAAAUUUAAACAGUUUAUUCUUCACUAUGGACUCUGCAGAAGAAGCGUGUGAGUCCGUUACACACAGUACCGAGAGUAUGUCAGAUGGUCUCGCACAGCUAUCGGCUAAAGACACACUGCUUAAAGAAGACAUAAAAUAGUCAAAGCUGGUUUUUGAGAGAACCACCCAAACAUUACAGGUUGAUGUGAGCAACAAUGUGCACAUGACAUGAAGCAUAAACAAAGCCAGAAACUGAAAUAACCUGUUUCUGUUCAUGACUCGUGUUUUGCUUGAAAACAUGUUUUCAUGAGGAUGAAGAGUGAAAACUGUUUGACUCCAACUGCAUUUAUAA